rnacentral:tRNA from 1 species
AUUCAAAUAGCUUAUAUUUAGAGUAUGACAUUGAAGAUGUUAUGGAGACUAGAAUAGUCUUUGAAUA